rnacentral:tRNA from 1 species
GGAGAGGUGGCAGAGUGGUCGAUUGUACCUGACUCGAAAUCAGGCGUACUUCAUGAGUACCGUGGGUUCGAAUCCCACCCUCUCCGCCA